ACGCUGGCGGCGUGCCUAAUACAUGCAAGUAGAACGCUGAAGCUUGGUGCUUGCACCGAGCGGAUGAGUUGCGAACGGGUGAGUAACGCGUAGGUAACCUGCCUGGUAGCGGGGGAUAACUAUUGGAAACGAUAGCUAAUACCGCAUGACAACAGUUAUUGCAUGAUAACUGUUUAAAAGGGGCAAUUGCUCCACUACCAGAUGGACCUGCGUUGUAUUAGCUAGUUGGUGAGGUAACGGCUCACCAAGGCGACGAUACAUAGCCGACCUGAGAGGGUGAUCGGCCACACUGGGACUGAGACACGGCCCAGACUCCUACGGGAGGCAGCAGUAGGGAAUCUUCGGCAAUGGACGGAAGUCUGACCGAGCAACGCCGCGUGAGUGAAGAAGGUUUUCGGAUCGUAAAGCUCUGUUGUAAGAGAAGAACGAGUGUGAGAGUGGAAAGUUCACACUGUGACGGUAUCUUACCAGAAAGGGACGGCUAACUACGUGCCAGCAGCCGCGGUAAUACGUAGGUCCCGAGCGUUAUCCGGAUUUAUUGGGCGUAAAGCGAGCGCAGGCGGUUAGAUAAGUCUGAAGUUAAAGGCUGUGGCUUAACCAUAGUACGCUUUGGAAACUGUUUAACUUGAGUGCAAGAGGGGAGAGUGGAAUUCCAUGUGUAGCGGUGAAAUGCGUAGAUAUAUGGAGGAACACCGGUGGCGAAAGCGGCUCUCUGGCUUGUAACUGACGCUGAGGCUCGAAAGCGUGGGGAGCAAGCAGGAUUAGAUACCCUGGUAGUCCACGCCGUAAACGAUGAGUGCUAGGUGUUAGACCCUUUCCGGGGUUUAGUGCCGUAGCUAACGCAUUAAGCACUCCGCCUGGGGAGUACGACCGCAAGGUUGAAACUCAAAGGAAUUGACGGGGGCCCGCACAAGCGGUGG
rnacentral:rRNA from 1 species